UGGGGAAUAUUGCACAAUGGGCGCAAGCCUGAUGCAGCCAUGCCGCGUGUAUGAAGAAGGCCUUCGGGUUGUAAAGUACAUUCAGCGGGGAGGAAGGCGAUAAGGUUAAUAACCUUGUCGAUUGACGUUACCCGCAGAAGAAGCACCGGCUAACUCCGUGCCAGCAGCCGCGGUAAUACGGAGGGUGCAAGCGUUAAUCGGAAUUACUGGGCGUAAAGCGCACGCAGGCGGUCUGUCAAGUCGGAUGUGAAAUCCCCGGGCUCAACCUGGGAACUGCAUUCGAAACUGGCAGGCUAGAGUCUUGUAGAGGGGGGUAGAAUUCCAGGUGUAGCGGUGAAAUGCGUAGAGAUCUGGAGGAAUACCGGUGGCGAAGGCGGCCCCCUGGACAAAGACUGACGCUCAGGUGCGAAAGCGUGGGGAGCAAACA
rnacentral:rRNA from 1 species